GCACGGAUCACCGAGUGGUAGUCUAAGGCGCCAGACUCGAGUUCUGGUAAGUGCAAGUCAGCAUGACUUCCAAUCCCAUUUCGUGCA
rnacentral:tRNA from 1 species